GCGACGUGAGAUUGGCGGCCGUCAAGUUCAUGGGGGCUGCUGCACGGCACCUGAGUAAGGACUCAGACAUGGAAGAGCUGCAGGGAAUGUGCGAUGCCCUCCAGAGCUUGGAGAAUGACCCUGAGCCCAGAGUCCGUUCCUUGGCAGCUGAGACCUUGCAGAACCUGGGAACUGAGCAGCACCAGCGAAGAUCACGAUGGUCCCUCCGAUCUCUGUUCUGCUGUUGCUGCUGAGAUGACUCAGGGACAAGCUCCUGGUGCCAUCUUCCUGACGCAGGGGACAGCAGCAGCGGGGGACUGAAGGUGCCAGUGAUGAAGGUGGAGCUGAGAAGAUGUCAUUGAGAACUCCACCCUGACCCUCUUGCUCCACAGACGGAGGCCGUGACUGCUCUGGAAAGCACCCGGCAGGGCUUUGUUUGGCAGCUGCCAGGAUGAGCAGAAGAUGGGGAACGUUUCACCUUCAACUUGUGAGCAUCAUCACUGAGCAUGCCAGCACUGGGACAGCCCCGCUCACAGCUGACCAUGUUGAACCCUUGCUGAUGGCAGCAGCACAGCUCAGUUUCAUGGGCAUCGUGAGCCAGUGCUGCAAGUGCCUCAAAACCAGCCUCUUGGUGGCUGAUUGCUCUGGCAUCCAGAGACUGCCAACAGUUCCAGCUGUCCCCACCUACUGGAAGCAGCUCAUGCCUUCCUCUUCCAUCACUUCCAGGAGGUCACCUGGGUGUCUCUGGAGUUGUUGAAGCUCUUCUCCAGCAGCAGCUGAGCCAGAGUUGCUUUCCUUUUCUCAUCAGAGAGGAGGAAACUGCAGUUGUGGCAGAGCUACCAAGAGGUCACAAAGGUCCCCCAAAUAAA